AGCGAACGCUGGCGGCAGGCUUAACACAUGCAAGUCGAGCGGGCACUUUCGGGUGUCAGCGGCGGACGGGUGCGUAACGCGUGGGAACGUGCCCUCUGGUUCGGAAUAACUCAGGGAAACUUGAGCUAAUACCGGAUACGCCCUUUUGGGGAAAGGCUUGCUGCCGGAGGAUCGGCCCGCGUCUGAUUAGCUGGUUGGUGAGGUAACGGCUCACCAAGGCGACGAUCAGUAGCUGGUCUGAGAGGAUGAUCAGCCACACUGGGACUGAGACACGGCCCAGAUUCCUACGGGAGGCAGCAGUGGGGAAUAUUGGACAAUGGGCGCAAGCCUGAUCCAGCCAUGCCGCGUGAGUGAUGAAGGCCUUAGGGUUGUAAAGCUCUUUUAUCCGGGACGAUAAUGACGGUACCGUAGGAAUAAGCCCCGGCUAACUUCGUG
rnacentral:rRNA from 1 species